rnacentral:rRNA from 1 species
AGAGUUUGAUCAUGGCUCAGAUUGAACGCUGGCGGCAUGCUUUACACAUGCAAGUCGGACGGCAGCACAGAGAAGCUUGCUUCUUGGGUGGCGAGUGGCGAACGGGUGAGUAUCAUAUCGGAACGUACCGAGUAAUGGGGGAUAACUAAUCGAAAGAUUAGCUAAUACCGCAUAUUCUCUGAGGAGGAAAGCAGGAGACCUUCGGGCCUUGCGUUAUUCGAGCGGCCGAUAUCUGAUUAGCUAGUUGGUGGGGUAAAGGCCUACCAAGGCGACGAUCAGUAGCGGGUCUGAGAGGAUGAUCCGCCACACUGGGACUGAGACACGGCCCAGACUCCUACGGGAGGCAGCAGUGGGGAAUUUUGGACAAUGGGCGCAAGCCUGAUCCAGCCAUGCCGCGUGUCUGAAGAAGGCCUUCGGGUUGUAAAGGACUUUUGUCAGGGAAGAAAAGGCUGUUGCUAAUACCGACAGCUGAUGACGGUACCUGAAGAAUAAGCACCGGCUAACUACGUGCCAGCAGCCGCGGUAAUACGUAGGGUGCGAGCGUUAAUCGGAAUUACUGGGCGUAAAGCGAGCGCAGACGGUUACUUAAGCAGGAUGUGAAAUCCCCGGGCUCAACCUGGGAACUGCGUUCUGAACUGGGUGACUAGAGUGUGUCAGAGGGAGGUAGAAUUCCACGUGUAGCAGUGAAAUGCGUAGAGAUGUGGAGGAAUACCGAUGGCGAAGGCAGCCUCCUGGGAUAACACUGACGUUCAUGCUCGAAAGCGUGGGUAGCAAACAGGAUUAGAUACCCUGGUAGUCCAA